GACGAACGCUGGCGGCGUGCCUAAUACAUGCAAGUAGAACGCUGAAGGAGGAGCUUGCUCUUCUGGAUGAGUUGCGAACGGGUGAGUAACGCGUAGGUAACCUGCCUGGUAGCGGGGGAUAACUAUUGGAAACGAUAGCUAAUACCGCAUAAUAGUAGAUGUUGCAUGAUAUUUACUUAAAAGGUGCAAUUGCACCACUACCAGAUGGACCUGCGUUGUAUUAGCUAGUUGGUGGGGUAACGGCUCACCAAGGCGACGAUACAUAGCCGACCUGAGAGGGUGAUCGGCCACACUGGGACUGAGACACGGCCCAGACUCCUACGGGAGGCAGCAGUAGGGAAUCUUCGGCAAUGGACGAAAGUCUGACCGAGCAACGCCGCGUGAGUGAAGAAGGUUUUCGGAUCGUAAAGCUCGGUUGUAAGAGAAGAACGAGUGUGAGAGUGGAAAGUUCACACUGUGACGGUAUCUUACCAGAAAGGGACGGCUAACUACGUG
rnacentral:rRNA from 1 species